GUCAGUUUUUGUGUGUGUCAGUAUAUGUAUCUGUGCAUGUGUAACUCUGGCUCUGGGCAUCAGAGUGUAUAUAUAUAUAUAUAUAUAUAUAUAUAUAUAUAUAUAUAGAUAGAUAGAUGGAUGCACAGAUGCAUACACUGACACACACAAACAAUGAU